rnacentral:rRNA from 1 species
CCUACGGGAGACAGCAGUGAGGAAUAUUGGUCAAUGGACGAGAGUCUGAACCAGCCAAGCCGCGUGAAGGAUGACUGCCCUAUGGGUUGUAAACUUCUUCUAUAAAGGAAUAAAACGAGUCACGUGUGCCUCUUUGCAUGUACUUUAUGAAUAAGGAUCGGCCAACUCCGCGCCAGCAGCAGCGGUAAUACGGAGGGUCUGAGCGUUAUCCGGAUUUAUUGGGUUUAAAGGGAGCGUAGAGGGGUUGUUAAGUCAGUUGUGAAAGUUUGCGGCUCAACCGGAAAAUUGCAAUUGAUACUGGCAGUCUUGAGUACAGGUGAGGUAGGCGGAAUUCGUGGUGUAGCGGUGAGAUGCUUAGAUAUCAGGAGGAACCCCGAUGGCGAAGGCAGCUUACUAGACUGUGACUGACAUUGAUGCUCGAAAGUGUGGGUAUCAAACAGGAUUAGAUACCCGGGUAGUC